UCUAAAAAAGGUCAAUAUGUAUCUAACUGCUUAUGAAUCACAAUAACAUGUUGUUGUCGUUCACGAAUCAAAUCUUACAAACAUUGAAGCAAUUCUGGAAGCUGUACAAAUUCCCACUGUGGCGGUGAAGGGAAGGAAACAAAAGGAAUGGACCCCUCAAUUCAAAGUGAGGAUGCAAGACGAUGAUGGGCCAAUAGAUGAUGCAAAAAAACUAAUAAUUCAAAUUGAAUGCAAAGAAGAGGACACAAGGAAGGAAAAGGUCAGCUGGAAGGAGAGAGAGA
rnacentral:lncRNA from 1 species